GCGCUGCUCCUGCGACCCCAACCAUCUGUCCACACUACUCCAGCAACCGGCCACAUCCACCCGACCCGCACUCUCCGGCGUGCGGCAUUCCAUCGACCACUGCGACCGUGCGGCAACCAGCACUCGUUGCCAUGGUCGCCCGUAGCUGGUUGUGCUCCUCUCUAUGGUUGACGCAAUAGGAUUUGCUACAACAAUACUUUUGUUUUGCUGGAACCAGCCUAUGUUUUUGUUACACCCACCCAUCCAAAUUCGCUACCACGUUGAUUUUUGCUGAACCGGCGAACCAUUUUGCUACAACUGUUGUCAGUUUUUGUUACUAGCUGUGUUUUGUGGAUUUGUGCUACAUGCAUCUCCAUGUUAGUUUUUCCCGUAGAUUUUUGCUACGACCAUGAUAUGACUUUGUUGGAACCAAAGGAAUUUUUUGCUACAUCCACCCAUGGCGGUGAUGGCUUUUUCUUCGAUGGGAUCGGCAAGGAAUUUUUGAUACAACUGGCGAGCAGUAUUGCUACAACCAGCAUUUUUUUUUGCUGGAACCAUUGGAUUUUUUUUGCUACAGCCUAUGUUUUCUCAGAGAUGCAAAGCAAUUUUUGAUAGAACUGACGAUAAAUUUUGCUGCAACCUGUAUCUAAUUUUGCUUCAACCGGCGAGAAAGUUUGCUUGAACAGGCGUGCGGUGGCAAUCCGGCGAGCCGUGGCGACCCGGUUAUCAACGGCAAUCCGGCGAGCGGCGGUAGUCAGGCCAGCGAAGGCAAUCCGGCAGGUGGCAGUGGCCCGACGAGCUUCAAUGGAUGUCUGCCUCAUUAUCGUCCUGCACCACGCCCGCAUGAUUUGGGGGCAAAAAGAGUCGUUUGAGGACAUAGCAUGUCUUGAUCUGACGGCUGAUACGGAAUGCAUUGAAGGUUUGA
rnacentral:lncRNA from 1 species